AGGACGAACGCUGGCGGCGUGCUUAACACAUGCAAGUCGAGCGGAAAGGCCCUUUUGGGGGUACUCGAGCGGCGAACGGGUGAGUAACACGUGAGUAAUCUGCCCUUCACUUGGGGAUAACCUCCGGAAACGGUGGCUAAUACCCGAUACGACCAUUCCUCGCAUGAGGUGGUGGUGGAAAGUUUUUUCGGUGGGGGAUGUGCUCGCGGCCUAUCAGCUUGUUGGUGGGUAAUGG
rnacentral:rRNA from 1 species